rnacentral:lncRNA from 1 species
AUUACAAUUAGUGUACCGGAUUAUGUUCUUGACACAUUGACUCUUACUCUUCCCAAUUAUGUUGUUGGGUUCCCGCAUAAAUCCCCUUGAUCUGUGCAUAGUGGAUUGGUUGUGCUUACUAUAGUGAUGAGAUAUUGCUUAUUGAUAAUUUUUUUUCUUCUAAUAAAACCAAUAUUUACACUAUUAAUUAUAUACGAAAGAGAGAUAGCUUGAACCCGAGAUGCAGUGAGUUGACGAGAAAAAUUUAACAAAAUUCCACUACUUAGCCAUUAAGUUUAGAUUCACUAUGUUUAUAAAUUUCAUUUAAUUUAAUUUUUUAAAAUGUAGAUGAUAUUGUCACCCAAUCUUCUUUUGUUUCUAGGGAACUAUAGGUGUGAGAAAAGAUAAAGACAUUUUUGUGACUACCUUAAGGUGAUGUAGCAUAUAAUAUGUUUGGUUGGCUCAGUCUAAAUAUCUUAAAGUGACUAUCUUUUUUUCUAAUAUGUUGGGUAUCGAGCAUGAAGUUUCUAAGCUCACUCAAGAUCAGUUUGUAUAAGAGUAAGUCAAACCUUCUUUAAGCUUGAGAAAAGUUACAGAACCAUGCUUAAACAUAAUGAUAUUUGGUUGCCUCAGCUCGUCAAUAGCUCUACUCAUCACUUCAUGAGUCAUUUUGGCAAAUUGGAAUUCACCAAAGUUAAGUUUUAAGGUUAAAUUUGGGUAUAAUCAAGUUAGCUAGAAAAGUGUGUUUCACUAUUGCACUCAAGUUCAAAUCCCUCUUGUCAUAGUUUGGAUAAAUUCAGUAUUUGCUUAUUUUAUCGUUUGUUAGAAGAAAAGAAAGGAAAAACUUAAGUUUCGGGCUACACAUGGCAAAUUGGUCUACUUGGAGGCUGCUUCUAAGAUGACAAUUUGGCCCAACCUAAAAGCAACAUCACCCUUCCCAAUUGCCUUUGCAAUUAGGGUGCGUUUGGUACAUGGGACGGGACGGGACGGAACGGGAUGAGGCGUUCCGUCCCGCGUUUGGUGCGCCAAAA